rnacentral:rRNA from 1 species
AUGUCGAGCCGCCGUGGCAGGAUCACCGACGAGGAGAUCAACGAGCUCAUCUCCAAGCUCCAGGCGCUGCUCCCGGAAUCAUCCCGCCGCCGCUCCGCGAGCCGGUCGUCGGCGUCGAAGCUACUGAAGGAGACGUGCGGCUACAUCAAGAGCCUCCACCAGGAGGUGGACGAUCUGUCUGACAGGCUCUCUGAGCUAAUGUCGACCUUGGACGAGAGCAGCCCCCAGGCCGAGAUCAUCCGGAGCCUUCUCCGCUAG